UUCACUAAAUCUCUUUCACGUUUGCAGGUGUAAGGAUCCUCCGCCCGGCUGUAACUUAACAACCAGCAGAGGAACAAUUCCUGCUUGUUGCAGUGUAACCUGUUUCAAUAAGACAGAACGAUGCAUCGCAAGCAAUGGCACGGUGUUAGAGGAUGGCCAAAGCAUAAACCUCACAACACCUUGUAGGAAUGAAACCUGUGUUGGGGGGAAGCUUAUAUCUCACGGUGGUAACCCGGCACUCAUCAGUGGCCAAACCGCGUUGGCCGCCGUGCGGUCGCAUUAUAGCGUUUCAAUCGCUCAAUACUGUGCGUGGUCUCGACAGAGGCCAUUGAAGUUUUGACUGACCCACUGGUCCACCGCUCGUAGCCAUGUCACAUCAAGCUUCGGGCUGUGACCCUACAGGACC